rnacentral:lncRNA from 1 species
CAGACUUUUAUUUUCUUUUUCCUCUUUAUUGGCUUCUAAUAAAGAGGAAAGAAAAGUUGUUAUUUUUUUCUCCAAUGCUUUAAACUUUAUGUUCUCUUUAUGUUUUUACAGAGAUUGUCCUCCACCCUAGACUCAUACUUAAAGUUUCUCAAACUUAUCACUCUCUAUAUAUCUUCCUUUCAAUUACAGAAGAACCCUGACAUACUCUCAUAUUUUUGUGGUCUUUUCUCUCCCUUUCCCACAAGAUACAUAUGAAGCUAUAGGCAUGAGGCUGGAUUUUCUUCACAUACUUCAACUAAAGCAAAAUAUCGCAGAUCGAAUGCCGGAGAAGAAUAUGAGAAUAUAUUUUGCUUCUACUAGACAUUAAAAAGAUUUACAAAGAUGAAAACGCCAUGAGAUAUCAUCUAACCCCAGUAAAUAUGGCUAUUAUCAAAAAGGCAAAAAAUAACAAAUGCUGAUGAGAAUGUGGAAAAAAAGGAAAUGCUAAUACACUGUUGGUGGGAAUGUAAAUUGGUAUAGCCACUAUGGAAAACAGUAUGAAGUUUCCUGAAAAAAUUAAAAAUAGAAAUUACUAUAUGAUUUGGGUAUAUAUGCAAAAGAAAGGAAAUAAGUAUAACAAAGAGAUAUAUGCACUCUCAUGUUAAUUGCAGCACUAUUCAUAAUAGGCAAGAUGUGAAAUCAACCUAAGUGUCCACUAAUUAAUAAAUGGAUAAAGAAAAUAAGAUAUAUAUACACAAUGGAAUAUUAGCCAUAAAAAAGAAUGAAAUUCUGUCAUUUGCAACAACGUAAGUGAAACUAGAAUACAUUCUGUUAAGUGAAUAAGUUACGCAUAGAAAGAUAAAUAUGGCAUAUUCUCACUCAUAUAUGGGAGCUAAAAAAGUUGAUCUCAUAGAAGUAAAGAGUAGAAUAAUGGUUGCUAGAGUCUGGGCUGAAUGGGAAGGGAAUGGGGGAAUGAAGAAAGCUUGGUUAUUGGCUCCAAAAAUAUAGAUAGAAGGAGUAAGUUAUAAUGUUUGAUGUUUGAUAGGACAAUAGUUAGCGAUAAUUUAUUGUAUAUUUCAAAGUAAGUAGAAGAGCAUAUUUGUAAUGUUCCCAACACAAAGAAAUGAUAAAUGUUUGAGGUUACUGAUUUUGAUCAUUGCACACUUUAUGCAUAUAUCAAAAUAUUACAUAUACCCUAUAAAUAUGUACAAUUAUGUAUCCAUUAAAAAUAUUUACAAAAAAAAUUUGCAAAAGUGUAAAAUGCUG